rnacentral:rRNA from 1 species
UACGUAGGGUGCGAGCGUUAAUCGGAAUUACUGGGCGUAAAGCGUGCGCAGGCGGUGAUGUAAGACAGGUGUGAAAUCCCCGGGCUUAACCUGGGAACUGCAUUUGUGGCUGCAUCGCUGGAGUGCGGCAGAGGGGGAUGGAAUUCCGCGUGUAGCAGUGAAAUGCGUAGAUAUGCGGAGGAACACCGAUGGCGAAGGCAAUCCCCUGGGCCUGCACUGACGCUCAUGCACGAAAGCGUGGGGAGCAAACAGG